rnacentral:rRNA from 1 species
UACGUAGGGGGCAAGCGUUGUCCGGAAUCAUUGGGCGUAAAGAGCGUGUAGGCGGUCCGGUAAGUCGGCUGUGAAAGCCCGGGGCUUAACCCCGGGUCUGCAUUCGAUACGGGCAGGCUAGAGUUCGGUAGGGGAGGAUCGGAAUUCCUGGUGUAGCGGUGGAAAUGCGCAGAUAUCAGGAGGAACACCAGCGGCGAAGGCGGCGCUCUGGGCCGGUACUGACACUGAGGAGCGAAAGCGUGGGUAGCAAACAGG